rnacentral:rRNA from 1 species
AGAGUUUGAUCAUGGCUCAGAUUGAACGCUGGCGGCAGGCCUAACACAUGCAAGUCGAACGGUAACAGGAAGCAGCUUGCUGCUUCGCUGACGAGUGGCGGACGGGUGAGUAAUGUCUGGGAAACUGCCUGAUGGAGGGGGAUAACUACUGGAAACGGUAGCUAAUACCGCAUAACGUCGCAAGACCAAAGAGGGGGACCUUCGGGCCUCUUGCCAUCGGAUGUGCCCAGAUGGGAUUAGCUUGUUGGUGGGGUAACGGCUCACCAAGGCGACGAUCCCUAGCUGGUCUGAGAGGAUGACCAGCCACACUGGAACUGAGACACGGUCCAGACUCCUACGGGAGGCAGCAGUGGGGAAUAUUGCACAAUGGGCGCAAGCCUGAUGCAGCCAUGCCGCGUGUAUGAAGAAGGCCUUCGGGUUGUAAAGUACUUUCAGCGGGGAGGAAGGGAGUAAAGUUAAUACCUUUGCUCAUUGACGUUACCCGCAGAAGAAGCACCGGCUAACUCCGUGCCAGCAGCCGCGGUAAUACGGAGGGUGCAAGCGUUAAUCGGAAUUACUGGGCGUAAAGCGCACGCAGGCGGUUUGUUAAGUCAGAUGUGAAAUCCCCGGGCUCAACCUGGGAACUGCAUCUGAUACUGGCAAGCUUGAGUCUCGUAGAGGGGGGUAGAAUUCCAGGUGUAGCGGUGAAAUGCGUAGAGAUCUGGAGGAAUACCGGUGGCGAAGGCGGCCCCCUGGACGAAGACUGACGCUCAGGUGCGAAAGCGUGGGGAGCAAACAGGAUUAGAUACCCUGGUAGUCCACGCCGUAAACGAUGUCGACUUGGAGGUUGUGCCCUUGAGGCGUGGCUUCCGGAGCUAACGCGUUAAGUCGACCGCCUGGGGAGUACGGCCGCAAGGUUAAAACUCAAAUGAAUUGACGGGGGCCCGCACAAGCGGUGGAGCAUGUGGUUUAAUUCGAUGCAACGCGAAGAACCUUACCUGGUCUUGACAUCCACGGAAGUUUUCAGAGAUGAGAAUGUGCCUUCGGGAACCGUGAGACAGGUGCUGCAUGGCUGUCGUCAGCUCGUGUUGUGAAAUGUUGGGUUAAGUCCCGCAACGAGCGCAACCCUUAUCCUUUGUUGCCAGCGGUCCGGCCGGGAACUCAAAGGAGACUGCCAGUGAUAAACUGGAGGAAGGUGGGGAUGACGUCAAGUCAUCAUGGCCCUUACGACCAGGGCUACACACGUGCUACAAUGGCGCAUACAAAGAGGAGCGACCUCGCGAGAGCAAGCGGACCUCAUAAAGUGCGUCGUAGUCCGGAUUGGAGUCUGCAACUCGACUCCAUGAAGUCGGAAUCGCUAGUAAUCGUGGAUCAGAAUGCCACGGUGAAUACGUUCCCGGGCCUUGUACACACCGCCCGUCACACCAUGGGAGUGGGUUGCAAAAGAAGUAGGUAGCUUAACCUUCGGGAGGGCGCUUACCACUUUGUGAUUCAUGACUGGGGUGAAGUCGUAACAAGGUAACCGUAGGGGAACCUGCGGUUGGAUCACCU